rnacentral:lncRNA from 1 species
UCAUGAAUCGGUCAGUGGUUGCGAAGUGAAAUCUGCAAUUUUCUUAAACUAUGAUUUUAGAGCAUUAGCAAUUUAUUGAAAACACUACAUUGUAAAUAUAAGAUCUCCAGAUGAUCCGGUGAUUCUGUGAGAUUAUGUUAAACAUCGCGUAGUUUUAAGAAAACAAGAGUAUUAAAUUGGGUACAAGAAUUACAGUAAUUUAUGGCAAUCAGGAUGAAGCGAACAGAUGGAUAUAUAUAAAGCUUAACAAUAAUUUUUGAUGCAUAAUCAAUUCCAUUGUGAUGGAUCCAGAUCCCGAGGCCAGUCAUUCAGAAGAUGCUACUUCAAUCACAGAUGUUCCUGACAUUUGUUCAGUGGAAGAGUAUAAUGACAUUGAGGCUAAUCGGACGAUAAUGGUUUCCUCAGAAAAGCACCUCUGUCACUGAGGAUUAUUUAUCAUACAGCGUAACUGCCAACUCUUCCGGUUUUUCAUCAUGUCACCCAGAUCGUAAUAUAUCUUUCUGUUUUCAAUUUUUAACCUUUACUAUGGGAAAUUACUUCUCAACAAUAAAUGGAAUUUAUUGAAUUAAUAAAAUUUAAGUUGU